UACAGAGGUCUCAAGCGUUGUUCGGAUUCAUUGGGCGUAAAGGGUGUGUAGGUGGCGCCGUAAGUCGGGUGUGAAACCUCGGGGCUUAACUCCGAAACUGCAUUCGAUACUGCGGUGCUUGAGGACUGGAGAGGAGACUGGAAUUCAUGGUGUAGCAGUGAAAUGCGUAGAGAUCAUGAGGAAGACCAGUGGCGAAGGCGGGUCUCUGGACAGUUCCUGACACUGAGACACGAAGGCCAGGGGAGCAAACGGG
rnacentral:rRNA from 1 species